UUCGUACUCCCUCCGUCCGGAAAUACUUGUCAUUAAAAUGGAUGUAUCUAGAUGUAUUUUAGUUUUAGAUGCAUCCAUUUUGAUGACAAGUAAUUCCGGACGGAGGGAGUAUAAU
rfam:Triticum aestivum genome assembly, contig: Triticum_aestivum_CS42_TGACv1_scaffold_321571_4BL